AUGAACGCUGGCGGCGUGCCUAAUACAUGCAAGUCGAGCGAACAGACGAGGAGCUUGCUCCUUCGACGUUAGCGGCGGACGGGUGAGUAACACGUAGGUAACCUACCUAUAAGACUGGGAUAACUUCGGGAAACCGGAGCUAAUACCGGAUAAUAUUUCGAACCGCAUGGUUCGAUAGUGAAAGAUGGCUUUGCUAUCACUUAUAGAUGGACCUGCGCCGUAUUAGCUAGUUGGUAAGGUAACGGCUUACCAAGGCAACGAUACGUAGCCGACCUGAGAGGGUGAUCGGCCACACUGGAACUGAGACACGGUCCAGACUCCUACGGGAGGCAGCAGUAGGGAAUCUUCCGCAAUGGGCGAAAGCCUGACGGAGCAACGCCGCGUGAGUGAUGAAGGUCUUCGGAUCGUAAAACUCUGUUAUUAGGGAAGAACAAACGUGUAAGUAACUGUGCACGUCUUGACGGUACCUAAUCAGAAAGCCACGGCUAACUACGU
rnacentral:rRNA from 1 species